rnacentral:tRNA from 1 species
GUUUUCGUGGUGUACUGGUUAUCACAUCCGCCUAACACGCGGAAGGUCCCCGGUUCGAUCCCGGGCGAAAACA